UACAGAGGGUGCAAGCGUUAAUCGGAAUUACUGGGCGUAAAGGGCGCGUAGGCGGAUAUUUAAGUUUGGUGUGAAAUCCCUGGGCUUAACCUAGGAACUGCAUUGAAAACUGAAUGACUAGAGUACUGUAGAGGGUAGUGGAAUUUCCGGUGUAGCGGUGAAAUGCGUAGAGAUCGGAAGGAACACCAGUGGCGAAGGCGGCUACCUGGACAGAUACUGACGCUGAGGCGCGAGAGCGUGGGGAGCAAACAGG
rnacentral:rRNA from 1 species